GGGACUGUGGCUCAGUGGUAGAGCGCCCACCUAGCAUGUGUGAGGCACUGGUUCGAUCCUCAGCACCA
rnacentral:tRNA from 1 species